AUAAAGGUUAAACAACAGAGGUUAGGUGACAGUGGAGUAGAGGGAGCUGGGGUCAGCAGGGUUCUCUGUCUCUCCUUAUGUCUUGGCUCCCUGAGGUUUGGUGACAGUGGAGUAGAGGGAGCUGGGGUCAGCAGAGUUCUCUGUCUCUCCUUAUGUCUUGACUCCCUGAGGUUUGGUGACAGUGGAGUAGAGGGAGCUGGGGUCAGCAGAGUUCUCUGUCUCUCCUUAUGUCUUGACUCCCUGAGGUUAGGUGACAGUGGAGUAGAGGGAGCUGGGGUCAGCAGGGUUCUCUGUCUCUCCUUAUGUCUUGACUCCCUGAGGUUAGGUGACAGUGUAGUAGAGGGAGCUGGGGUCAGCAGGGUUCUCUGUCUCUCCUUAUGUCUUGGCUCCCUGAGGUUUGGUGACAGUGGAGUAGAGGGAGCUGGGGUCAGCAGGGUUCUCUGUCUCUCCUUAUGUCUUGACUCCCUGAGGUUUGGUGACAGUGGAGUAGAGGGAGCUGGGGUCAGCAGGGUUCUCUGUCUCUCUCCCUCUGGUAGUAGAGGGCUUAACAGAGCAAUAGAUCACUGCAUCCUCACCCUGGACCUACACAUACAAACACACACACACACACACACACACACACACACACACACACACACACACACACACACACACACACACACACACACACACACACACAGACACACACACACAGUCAGACACAACCAAUUAAAGGCUUUAAACAUUAUAUAGGAGUAAGAGUCAAACCUGCACACAGUAUUAUUUAGCUUCACUUACAUCAACACUCUGCGGGGGAUUUUGAUUGAAGUGGAGGAUGGAGGCAUAGGUGAUAUUGCCAGCAGGUUGAUGCUUCAAGUGGACAGAGAACAAUAAGAUUAUGGACUAAUUAACUGGACGUUAAUCCCGUUGCGUGAUAACAGCUGAAUAACAUCAUGAUUCACAUGAGUAAAUAUAAUGACAGAAAUGUAAUCAUAUUGUGAUUUACUGACCUUGUCCUCAUUGGUUGAUAGGUUAGAAUGGCUUCCUGACAGCGGAGUCAAUCACCACCUUCCGGAGACACCUGAAACCCCACCUCUUUAAGGAAUACCUAGGAUAGGAUAAAGUAAUCCUUCUAACCCCCCCCCCCCCUAAAAUAUUUAGAUGCACUAUUGUAAAGUGGUUGUUCCACUGGAUAUCAUAAGGUGAAUGCACCAAUUUGUAAGUCGCUCUGGAUAAGAGCGUCUGCUAAAUGACUUAAAUGUAAAUGUAUUGUUUAAAGUAGAGCUACUACACCAGAAGGGAAUGGACUGGAUGAUGUGGAUGUUCUUGCAGUUGUAGAGGACAUGAUCUCUGGAAAUGAAUAAGAUCAAUGUGUCAUAUGGUGAAUAUUGGUUUCACAUGUGGUUGAGUAGCAACAUUACUAUCAUCAACACUAUGGGCUUUAAUUCAAUCAAACCCGUAUUGCCGCGAUUAUAACAUUGUUUUGUCCUUUGAAAUUAUGCAACUACUCAGAUAGUGUCACCUGGUUGAAUCAGAGAAAAGGUCACUUCAAAAUUCAAAUUUCAAAUACACUACAUACAUUUCUUUGUGCUGGGACUGUUGUCCUUUUCCAAUGUCCUGUAUGCAUUACCCACGUGACAAGGUCAAUCUUACUAAAACAUACUCUUACUGACAUAAUUGAUCAUCUUUUCAUUGAAGAUGUUGGCACUGCAGAGCAACAGAUACUCACUGGUUAGAACAGACAGAUGAACAGGGGCAUCAGCUCCAUGUCGUGGUCCAGUCUUUGCAAGGUAUUGUUGACAGGUGUAGAGUCCAGCAUCCUCAGCUCUGACAUCACUAACAUGUAGAGAACAGUCAGACCCUAAACUCAGUCUGUCUGCUAUGUUGUUGAGUUGUUUUUUCACCUUCCCUAGAUCGACUAGUUCAAAAGCAGUUCCAGCUCUGUUAUAGAUCCAUGUAGUUGAGGAACAGUCAGGAUAAACCACAUUGUUACACGGCAGACUGACAUCAUCUCCUACUCUGGAGAACAUAGAGAGAAUUUCUCCACUGACACCUGACAAGAACAUGAUAUCAGAUCAUUAUUUUUUAAUACAGAUUAGAAUACAGAUGGGGACCAUUAAUAUACUUAAAAGGUAUGCUUUUCACAUAAAUGGAGUCACUAUAUCCACAGAAUGUCACAACAAAAAUGUUUACUCAACCAAAGAAAUUCUACAAUAUGAAUUGAUAUAUUGUUUUCUGAGAUGGAUAGUUUGCAUGUUAUUCUCUAAAUAUCACACUGGUCUCACCUGUUAGCAGAUAUAAAAGGGACCCAAGCAGUCCCAAAACAGCCAUUUUAACCAUUGUCCUCUCCCUCACUCUCUCCUUUGCUUCUCUCUCUGUCGGAGUGUCCCUGCACAACAAGUUUCUCACCAUACAGUGCCCACUGGGCACAUACGUCAAUUCAAUGUCUAUUCCACAUUGGUUCAAUGCAAUUUUGUUGAAAUAUCGUGGAAACAAUGUCGAUUCAUCCAGUGUGUGCCAAGUAGGAAGUUUC
rnacentral:lncRNA from 1 species